rnacentral:rRNA from 1 species
AGUGAACGCUGGCGGUAGGCCUAACACAUGCGAGUCGAACGGCAGCACAGUAAGAGCUUGCUCUUACGGGUGGCGAGUGGCGGACGGGUGAGGAAUACAUCGGAAUCUACUUUUUCGUGGGGGAUAACGUAGGGAAACUUACGCUAAUACCGCAUACGACCUACGGGUGAAAGCAGGGGAUCUUCGGACCUUGCGCGAUUGAAUGAGCCGAUGUCGGAUUAGCUAGUUGGCGGGGUAAAGGCCCACCAAGGCGACGAUCCGUAGCUGGUCUGAGAGGAUGAUCAGCCACACUGGAACUGAGACACGGUCCAGACUCCUACGGGAGGCAGCAGUGGGGAAUAUUGGACAAUGGGCGAAAGCCUGAUCCAGCCAUACCGCGUGAGUGAAGAAGGCCUUCGGGUUGUAAAGCCCUUUUGUUGGGAAAGAAAAGCAGCAGGUUAAUACCCCGCUGUUCUGACGGUACCCAAAGAAUAAGCACCGGCUAACUUCGUG